rnacentral:lncRNA from 1 species
UGAGGGCCCCAAGGGUCCAGGUAAACCCAGCAACACAGCACAAGAGAGAUAAUAAUAGCAACUAAUUAUCAAUUUCCUGCGAUGGAUGCUUAAAGAGCAAUUACAUAAGAGCAACCCAUAAAAGUCCUCAGAGGAUAGCGUUCCUGGGCAAAGGCAGAGUGAGUAUUGACUGAACGACUAGCUCCCAUAAUGACUGCUCCACAGGCAUGUGCUUUAUCCCCUGGCUUGUAGUUGUCUGGUUUUUCACAUUAAACUCAGCAAGUGAUGCAUCUACUCAGUGGGUAGAAGGGGUCUUCAUUCAUUUCGCCAUAGCACACUAUUACAAAA